rnacentral:lncRNA from 1 species
AUUGCUCCUGUGUUUCAUAGAUGGGAAAUCAUACUGAUGACUCAACCAUAUAUAGCAUUAUUUUGCUGGUUCAUGCUACCUCAGCGGAAACUGCCAAAGGUCAUCUGACAUAAUAGCUGAUGAAUUCAAGCCCAGUGGAUUUCAUUUGCAAUUUUCAAUUUACUGAGGCCUCCAAACCCCACGGUGAUAAAAGCUUCCCCUAUCGUGGCCUGUCACAAACAUCAAGAAACUGCACAAACCCACAAGAAAGAAAAAAGAGAAAGCUGUGCAUCAUCACAGCUAUAGAUAAGGAGAACAGGAAGAAAUGGUAUCAUGCAGGAAGGUGGGGAGCAGCCUGUGUGGCUAGUUCUCUAAAUGCCAAUUGAAACGAAAAGACUAUGAGGAACAAUCAAAUAACUUCCACAGAAUAACAACAUGUUUCUUUGGAGCUUUUAUGUGAAAAUUGCCUUCUAAUCUCUGACUUGACAUGCUCCCACACAAAAAUGUAAGUGUAAAUAUGCAAAUAAAUAAAUGAAUAAAUAAU